rnacentral:other from 1 species
AGUUUCCUGCGGCGUUCGAGCUUCGUUGUGUCCAUACGCGCGAAUCCGAUAUAACUCAUGUGGGUGUCGAACCCCGGCGUGGAUAGAUCCGGCGAUCUGUCGGAUAAGAAAUGUCGGUAGUAGGCACCCGCCCUGUAAAAACAGGGAUUCAGCCAGGACACGACACACGGCGCUGUGGGACCAAU